ensembl:lncRNA
CCCUCCCCCCGGGCUCCGGGCCUGAGGCGGUCCCGGUCCCCGCCCGCCGCCCGCUCGCUCGCCCGCCCGCCCGCCCGCUCCUCACCGUGUCAGCGACAACGCGGCCGAGGCCGAGGCCGGGCUCCUCCGCGCCGCAUCCUCCCGGCCGCCCAGCGCGGACGGGGCCAGGGCGGGACCCGGACCGAGCGGCCGCCGCUCCGGCCCUGCUCCGAGCCGAGGCAGCGACACCAAAAUGGCGGCGGCUCCUGCUCCUCCGCGAGAGAGCGCCCGGCCACGCCCCCCCCGCGCGCCAGGCCACGCCCCCGCCCGCGGCCACACCCCGGGGUGGCCCCGCCCCCAGCUCCUCGCCCCGGGGGGGGCGGUGCCGGGAUCCGCGGCCGUGCCCCCCGGGUGGGGCCGGCCCGGGCCGAGCCCGCCCCGCGCCGCCUUUGGGCCUCGCGGGGACCCGUAGCGGGCUCGCGCGGGCCGCGGCCUUGCCUCGCCGUGGAGCCUGGCGCCUGAGCUGGGGCUGGAAACAAACGGGAGCCGUUCCCCUGACGGACUGAGUUUCUUCCCCCCUGCCCGCCGGACGUGCACAGCAAGGAAAAAUGCUGAGAAGUCUGAAAGGUCUUGUCUGCCAUCCUCUGAAGGUAAGUCUUGUGGCAGUAUGAUGCUGCUUCCAAUACUUCAGCUGUCCUGUGACCUGGAACAACAGUCUACAACUAUAAAAAGUGGUGUCUCUUAUAAACUGGUCGUGCAAGCUCCCAUUACGGAGAGAGACCACUGAGUGUUAUUUCUACUUUUCUCUCCAUUCCUGUAAACGUGUGGGACAGCAAAUGUGUCAGUGAGUCUGGGCAGUUGGCUCAAGUGAGAUGGUUGUUAAACGACUGAGUCUAGCAUCCUGAAAUGUCCAGAAUGCUGAAGAGUCUAUAUCUUUGAUACAAGCGUAUCCCAGAAAACAGAGAACCUACUUGCUCUGCACUGCUGGAAAAUGUAAAGGAAGAAGCCCUUUCUCUUGGUACAGAAGAACCAAUCUUUCACAAAGGCUGUGUGUGGCUCUUUCACAAAGCCAAAGAUGGCUUAGUGCUUCAGGUGGGUGUAGGAAUGUUAGCUCUGUCACAACACUGCAGCAACACUAUGUUAUUAGUAAAGCUUCCUUGUAUUAUAUGUAGCAUAAUGAAUUGAUGUUGCAUAUCUGGAGUGACUUCCUAAAGGUAAAGAAUUUCAGUUGUUUAGUUUUCUGUUGUCUUUGAAAUGUUUUUUCAUUAGUACGUAGUGAUUAUGCACCCGUUGAAGAGGAAGACUGUUAAAGUCCUUGCUUCUGGAGACGAGAUCCUGGUUGUUACAGUACGGGGUUUAUCAUGGCAGCCUGUAUGAAAUCAGCAGUCUUUUCUAGAGACUUAUAUGUAGCAUCAUGCAGGAACAGCUCCACCUUAUGGCACAUGACUUUAUGAUUAAUCUCCAUGUACCACGUGAUAGUUUGCUGCCAUUUCAGGGAUUUGAGUUAAACUACUGUCCUUUUGCAGGUGGAAACUUACUAUAAAGUCCACUCUAUGUUGUUAGGAUAAGCUGUGUUAAAAGAUGACACGACAAUGUGAGAGCU